AAUGGAUUGCUGAUAAAUCACAAGUCUAUACCCAACAUGCCUAUAUGAGACCACUUGGAGUUGUGGCAAUGGUUUUGGGCAUUGAUGAUGAGUAUGGACCUCGCCUCUAUAAAUGUGAUCCCGCUGGUCAUUUCUUUGGUCACAAGGCCACUAGUGCUGGACUUAAGGAGCAGGAGGCUAUUAAUUUCUUGGAAAAGAAAAUGAAGAAUGAUCCUGCUUUUACUUAUGAGGAGACUGUGCAGACUGCAAUUUCUGCACUUCAAUCAGUGCUGCAAGAGGACUUCAAGGCCAAUGAGAUUGAGGUGGGAGUGGUUAGGUCGGAGAAUCCUAUCUUCAGAGUGUUGAGCACUGAAGAAGUUGAUGAGCAUUUGACUGCCAUUAGUGAGCGAGAUUGAUUGAUUCAUGUGCUGCUCCCUGGAGAAGCAUAUUGACAACAUCAAAUGCCUUCGUUUUAGAUGUUGAUUAUCGAUGCAUUGCAUGCUUUAUAUGUACAAGUCCUUGAGGUAGUAUUUGCUUCUGAAUUGUUGUCGACGGUGACA
rnacentral:misc_RNA from 1 species